UUUUUUUGAUUUUGUUUUCUUUUCUAUUAUUUUGUAGCUUUAGGGCUUUAAUUAAAAUACCUAGGCACUUUCUAAAAUCCUGAAAAUAUUUGUGAGCCCUAUUGGGAUUAUUCCUAACAGCAAACAAUUACUUUCAGAAUUAUUUGAGCACUUGAAUUAUUUUAUAGCAUUUAAAUGCCCAAAUUCAAAUAUUUAUGAAUUAAAUCAGUGACCUUCUGUUGACCUAGAAAAAUGUGCACCUAUUUUCCCAAAGGUUCUAACCCAAGGCAAAGAGGGUGAACAUUUUAGAAGGGCAUUUCAGGUUCAUUGAAUUUAUUUUUAGUAAACCCUAGUUGAUUUCAGGGGGGGGGGUGCUGGGGGUUCUGUCUUCCCCAUUUCAAGUUUCUAAUGAAAGUAAACAUGAUGCACACUCUAAUGCAUGGACUAGCUAGGGUGUGACAACUCACCCCCACUCAACAGAAUCUCGUCCCGAGAUUUAGGAUCAUCUGGAAAGAAGGUGGGGUACUCGAGUCGAAGACGAUCCUCCCUUUCCCAGGUGGCUUCUUCCUCGGAAUGGUGUGACCAUUGAACCUUGAGAAACUUGAUAUUAUGACGUCGAGUGGUACGCUCGGCUUGAUCAAGGAUACGAACGGGGUAUUCCCGAUAAGAAAGGUUAUCUUGUAAAUCAAGCGUUUCGUGGUCCACUCCACGGAUAGGAUCCGCGAAGCAAUGCCUGAGUUGCGAAACGUGGAAGACAUCGUGAACUCUGGAAAGAUGCGGAGGUAGUUCCAAUUGGUAGGCAACUUCUCCUCGUUUGGCAAGAAUGCGAAAGGGUCCAAUGUAACGAGGAGCCAAUUUGCCUUUGAUACCGAAGCGAUGGGUUCCCUUUAACGGGGUAACCCGAAGGUAAGCCUUCUCGUCAUCUUCAAAUGUCAUAGGCUUAUGUUUACGAUCAUAUUGACUCUUUUGGCGAGAUUGGGCUAUUUUCAAUUUCUCACGAAUAACGCGAACCUGCUCUUCUGCUUCCUGAAUCAUAUCCGGGCCAAAGAGUUGUCUUUCCCCGGUUUCUGACCAGUUAAGAGGCGUUCGACAUUUCCGUCCAUAGAGAACUUCGAAGGGAGCUUUGCCCAAACUAGCUUGAUAACUAUUGUUAUAAGCAAACUCCGCGAAUGGAAGGCAUUUCUCCCAACUCAUUCCGAACGAGAUAACAGAAGCUCGGAGCAUAUCUUCCAGAAUUUGAUUGACUCGCUCUACUUGACCACUUGAUUGAGGAUGGAAGGCGGUGCUAAAGGAGAGAUGGGUUCCCAUAGCAUUUUGGAAACUUUCCCAAAAUCGAGAGGUGAAGAGACUUCCACGGUCUGAGUUAAUUUCCAAUGGGACACCAUGAAGAGACACUAUUCGAGAGAUGUAUAAGUCAGCUAGCUGGCUAGCGGUGAUACUCUCCCGAACGGGUAGAAAGUGGGCCACUUUGGAAAGACGGUCGAUCACAACGAAGAUGGCAUUAUUCCCCCUCUUGGUCCUGGGAAACCGAGUGAUGAAAUGCAUACUGAUUUUAUCCCAUUUCCAUUCAGGAAUAGCCAAAGGUUGAAGGGUGCCAGCAGGCCGUUGAUGUUCUGCCUUAACGCGACGACAAACGUCGCAAUUAGCAAUGUAUUGAGCGAUUUCUCUCUUCAUCCUAGUCCACCAAAACCUCUGGCGUAGGUCUUGAUACAUUUUAGUACUACCGGGAUGAAUGGUGAGAGGGGAUUCAUGAGCUUCCUUAAGGAUCAUCUGGCGUAGAUGUUGUUUCUUGGGAACCACCAGACGGUUCUCGAAGAAGACAACACCUUGUUCAUCCAUGGAAAAACAUUUAGCAACUCCGCUAGCAAUGUUUUCCUUAAUCCGGGAUAUGCCCUUGUCAUACCGCUGAGCGGUUAUGAUUUGAUCCAUAAGGGUAGGUUUCGCCACCAGGGUGGAAAGGAACCCUUGAGGAAUAAUGUGAAGAUUUAGCUUACGAAAUUCCUCAUGGAGAAGUGGUUGACUUUGUUGUAACAUCAGAUUGUUACAAUAGGACUUACGGCUUAGCGCAUCAGCCAUGACAUUGGCCUUGCCCGGGGUGUAAGUUAUUCCUAAGUCGUAAUCCGAGAUCAACUCGACCCAACGUCUUUGCCUGAGAUUCAAAUCUGGUUGGGUGAAGAUAUAUUUCAAACUUUGGUGAUCGGUGAAGAUCUCGCAACGAUUACCGAGAAGGUAAUGUCGCCAGGUUUUGAGUGCAUGGACUACAGCUGCAAGCUCUAGAUCAUGUGUGGGAUAAUUUUCCUCAUGUGGGUGUAAUUGCCGUGAAGCAUAGGCAAUUACCUGACGAUCUUGCAUGAGUAUGCAACCUAGUCCUUGUCGCGAGGCGUCGCAAUAGAUAAUAAAGUCCUUGGAGAAAUCUGGUGGUACCAGUACGGGAGCAGAUGUCAGACGUCUUUUCAGUUCCUGAAAACUGAACUCGCACUGUGGAGUCCACUCGAACUUUUUAUCUUUCUUGAGGAGUUCAGUUAGAGGUUUAGCAACCUUGGAGAAAUUCUCGACUAAACGGCGGCAAUAGCUCGCUAGGCCAAGGAAACUCCGAACUUGCUUGACCGUUUCAGGUGGAGUCCAAUCAAGGACGGCUUGAACUCGCUCGAGAUUGACAGCAAUACCCUUACCAGAGAUUACAUGGCCUAGAUAGGUCACUUCUGACAACCAAAAUUCACACUUGGAGAAUUUGGCAUAAAGGCGAUGCUCUGGAAGUUUCAUCAAUACCAGCCUUAGAUGUUCGGCAUGUUCCUCUUCACUCUUGGAGUAGAUGAGUAUGUCAUCGGGGUAUACUACGACGAAUUUGUCCAAGUACUCCAUGAAGACUGAGUUCAUUAACUGGGAGAAGGUGGCCGGGGCAUUGGUUAAACCGAAGGACAUGACGGUGUACUCGUAUUGGCCAUAACGAGUAACAAAGGCCGUUUUGGGAAUGUCCCCGUUUCUGAUUUUGAUUUGAUGGUAGCCCAACCGCAAAUCCAUCUUGGAGAAGACUGAGGAUCCAGCGAGCUGAUCAUACAGGUCGUUGAUCCUGGGAAGCGGGUAUUUGUUCUUGAUGGUGACCAGAUUGACAGGUCGGUAAUCCACAACCAUUUGAUCCGUUCCAUCCUUCUUCUUGACGAAGAGGACGGGGCAAGCCCAAGGAGAGGAGCUAGGACGGAUGAACCCCUUGUUCAAGGACUCAUCGAGUUGGUUCAAGCUCGGCUAGUUCUAAGGGUGCCAUCUUGUAGGGCCUUCUAGCAAUUGGGACGGUUCCUGGAACAAGGUCUAUCACAAACUCGACAUCCCUGUCAGGUGGAACACCUGGCAGUUCUUCUGGAAACACAUCCGGAAAGUCUCGGACUACCGGAACGUCCUCAAGGUCUGGAAGAGGGUUGGCAUUGAGGGAGUAAAGUUGGCGCUUGGCCACUCGAGUUAAGACAUUAAAUGUCUUGCCCGAGGGGUGAGUAAGUUGAACGGUUCUAGUGGCACAAUCGAUCUUGGCAUAAUGAGCCGACAUCCAGUCCAUACCCAAGAUGAUGUUUAUGUCAGAGGACUUGAGAGCUAUUAAAGAUGCAAGGAAGACAAGCCUAUCGACAAGAAUUUCGUUCCCAUGGCUUACCCUAGACGUUUGCCAUCUAGAGCCAGGGGUUUGAAUUUCCAUGGUGGAGGGCAUAUCACAGAAUGUCGUGUUAUGCAAUUGGGCAUAAUUCUCGGAUAUGAAUGAAUGAGAUGCUCCAGUAUCGAAAAGAACAGAUGCCGGAUGGCAGUUAACAAGGAGCGUACCAAGAACGACGUUGGGAUCCUCAUGAGCCUCUUCGGCUGAAACAUAAUUGACAUGGCCAUGUGCAGUGGUGGCCGGCUUGGCGUAGAAAGUCUUUCCCGCGGGCUUACCACGGCCAACGGACUUUCCAGCUUGAUUGGGGUUGUUCUGGGGACACUCUCGACUAUAGUGACCCGGUUCUCCACACUUGAAGCAUGUUACCACAGUGGGGCGUGGAGCAACAUUAGCAGCGGGGCCACCAUAGGGCUUGGGCGGUGCAAAUUGCUGGUUGGGACAAGGCGCCUCAAAGGAUGGCCUCGGGGUGAUCUGGGUGGCAGUGCUGUGCUUGGAAUCCACACCCGACGCUUCUGAGCUCCAGAGCCGGAUGAAGACCCAAAAUCACGGGAGUGCUUGCGUGAAGCGUCAUAAUCAGUCUGGCCUGUCUCAGCACUGAUAGCUUUAUUGACCAACUUCUGAAAGGAUGUGCACUCGUGCAGACGGAGAUCGCGGCGAAGCUCAGGGCUAAGUCCCUUGCGGAACCUUGCCUGCUUCUUGGUGUCAGUAGAAACCUCUUCAGGAGCAUAGCGUGCCAGGUUCCCAAAUUCUCGGCUAUAUGCAUCCACAGUCAGCCUUCCUUGGGUGAAGUUGCAGAACUCCUCCCUCUUGCGAUCCAUGAGACCUUCCGGAAUGUGAUGCUCACGGAAAGCCUCGCUGAACUCAGCCCAGGUAGUGAUUUGACCGACCGGGCGCAUAGCUUCGUAGUUUUCCCACCAAUGGCUAGCGGGGCCCUCGAGAUGAUAGGCCGCAUAAGUAACCUUGUCGGCUUCGGCUACGUUGGCAGAACGUAGCUUGUGGGUGAUGCUGCAAAGCCAAUCAUCCGCGUCGAGGGGCUCGACGGAAUGGUUAAACUUUGGUGGGUACAGCUUGAUAAAGUCAUUGAUUGACACCAUGUCAUUUCGUGGGUGGCGUGCAGUGUUAUGCUCAAUCCGCUCCAGCAGGCAGUUGGUCUCACGCUUGUUUCUUUCCGCCUCCAGCAUCACUUCGGCCAGAGAAGGCGGGUGAGGCAGAUUUUCACCUCUAGCUGCACUGGCUUCCCCCCGCUCCGGGACAGCAGGGUUGCCGCGGGUGUUGACCAUCCUAGGAGGAAACAAGACAACGGUUUAGACAAGGAUGGCUCAAACUUAACAAGGAAGUGCAGAAUGUAAAGGAUAACACGGAAUGCAGAGAUGCUCAUUCGUAUGCCACGGUAAUAUAAAACUGCCAUAUAUACACCAACGGUCAUACUCGUCAUACAUAGUUUAGUACAAGCCCAUGCUACAGUACAACUAUGAAGGUAGACGUUACAUCUCAUCGGAGGCAUUCCGAGUUCCUAUACAUUAUUUGUCUACACCUCCGAAAUCGAUUACACACCAAGUCGUAUUCCACAAGUCACACAGGACAGUGGGGAUACAACUACUACAAUACUAGUGGUACUACUACUAACUCAGAUAGCUCCGUAGUAGUCCUCAUAGAAGUCACCUCCAUAGCCUGGAAGUUCAACGUGAUCAUCCGGAAACAGACGGUCCUCAGGAGCCUGUGGACCAUAGGGGCUAGGAUGAGGUCUUGGACCAACAAACGGUGGCCUGCGGGGACCACGGGGUGGGGUGAUGCCUCCCACAUCACGCCAAUCCACCAUGUCUGGCAGAGCUGAUCUCACAGGAUACAGAUCCCUGGUAUCCAUACAUCCAGCUUGCACCGCGGGUGCAAACCGAGUCAUUGUGGCCCAAUGAUCCGCAUGAGUAUUAAAAAGCUCCAACCUCAAGGCCUGAUUCUCUCGGUCCUUAUCUUCGAGCAUCUCAGCGGUGGUACGAGUUAAUGAGUCCUCCUGAGUGGAGUCAUCAUAGAUAGCCUGAACAUACCCUUGCGCUCCCGGAAGUGAAGCUGGCAUGUAACGGAAGUCAGUGUUCCGAAGCAGUCCAGUCCGGACUCGCAAGAUGGUCAUCAUGGAGUAGGCAGCAUCCUGCACAGCCAUCUCAACGGUAACCCCGAGUCCAUAGGAACAGUGAAGGGGCUCGGUAGAUCCAGGGUAGGAAGGAAAUAUCCUGACGGUGCAGAAAUACUGGCUUUGAUUAAAGUCGCGGAACUGCUCUUCAACAGUAUAUUCGGGUUACCAACGAUAUCCUGUCUCGAUCAUGACCCGGACUAACAUAGCAGUAUGACCGGGCACGUCGAGGCACCUGGUCAGGCGAACCACUUGAUUUUGAGAACGGUUGGCCAUCUGAAAGCACAACCACAAGACAAAGACAUCAGAAUUCCUAGGGAAAAUUGGACAGCAUAACGGCUGUAAAUGCUCAGAAAAAGAUUUGAGACAUCCACAACAGUUCACAAUACCGCUCAACAGCAUCAUAUCAAGGUUCUGGUUCAAAUAGCAACAUACUAAAAUAGUAGAAACUGGACUGGAACUCGUAGCAAUAAUCCUAUAAACUACUACGGAUUAGUAACACGUGAACCUGAUAGAAGAAGAGAGCCUAGUCCUUAACCCACGUUGAAUGAGAAGAGAAUGACUCAGAUCAGAGGCAUAGGGUAAAGGAGUAAAAGAACCUUACGUUCCCUCCCACAAUCAAUUCCCUUACAUAUAACUAAAGCAUUUCUAGACUCGACAUCGACCAGUUUGGCUCAACGAACCUACAGGCAGUCCGGCUCUGAUGCCAACGCUGUCAGGACCCCGAUUCUAAGCCACAUCGAUCUAGCCGGUAACACCUCAUAUCACUUUGCGGCCUCAUGCACGGUAUCCCACGGGUGUCGCCUUACCAUGGCCCGGGACCGUUUGCGCCUUUUGGCUCGCGUAUAUGACAAUGUCGCUAGCAUCCAUAUGACCGAGAACCCGGGCCGACAUGGCUAGUCGUGAACCCAAAGCGGCACAGACCUAUGGAGACAGGCAUACAUGAAUCACAUCGAACAUGUCGGUCAUCAACGAGUGAUUCCGGGCUGUAGCACUGGGCUAACAGGACUCCGGUGAACCGGGUUGUAGCAGGCUAGACAGGACUCCGGGGAUCACCGCGUGACAUUUCCCCGAAGGGACAGACAUAGGGACGAAGUGAAACACAUGCCGGCCAGUCAAGUGUCCUGAACAGUAGUGCUGGGCUAACAGGACUCCGGUGAACCGGGCUGUAGCGGACUACUAUGGCUCGAGGAACACUAGACUACAUUUCCCCAUAAGAAAGGCUGCGAAGGACAAACAGCUAGAUUGUCGGAUCCCACUCAUACCAAGCAUUUCAAUCCUACACACAAUAUGCCCGAUAUGAGUACAUACAACAUGGCAUCACAACAAAACUCUACAACUCAAGUACUUUAUUUAAAGGCUCCAGGGAGCCAUACAUAACAUAUUCACACGGAUAGGGGUCACAUGACCCGACACUCAAGUCAUACAGUCAUACAAGCACAUGCGGAAGCAACUAGUCUGAGUACAGACUCUAGAAAGAAAGAAGGCUUCUCGAAGCCUGUCUAUCUACAUAGGGCCCUCCAUGGCCUGGAUCACCACCUGGGUGGCUAGUCACUCGUCAACGUCAAGGUCUACGUAAAACCCAUCGGAGGGGGCAAUGUUGUCGUCUGAAAACAAUAAAUAAGCAAACAUGAGUACAAAGGUACUCAGCAAGUCUUACAUCAGAACCUACUAUACAUGCUCAUUCUCAAGAAGGUGGUGGGGUUUAUGCAGCAAGCCAGCUUUGACUCUUGGCUAAGCUAUCCUACAGAACCUUUUAGUAAAAUAGUUUUCGCACACGAGUCCACUACUCACCAACACAAUACUCCACCGCGGAUCCUCCCUCGUAUCCUGCGAGAGGGCCAUCCUCGGUACUCACACUUAUCUUGAGUCUUUUAGCAGUAUCCAUUAACUUGUCUAUGAACUGUAUAGGCAACCAAGUAGUCCUUUACCGCGGACGCGGCUAUUCGAUGUUGGGGAACGUAGUAAUUUCGAAAAUUUUCCUACGCACACGCAAGAUCAUGGUGAUGCACAGCAACGAGGGGGGAGAGUGUUGUCUACGUACCAACGCAGACCGACUGCGGAAGCGAUCACACAACGUAGAGGAAGUAGUCGUACGUCUUCUUCCCGAUCCGACCGAUCCAAGCACCGUUACUCCGGCACCUCCGAGUUCUUAGCACACGUUCAGCUCGAUGACGAUCCUCGGGCUCCGAUCCAGCAAAGCGUCGAGGAAGAGUUCCGUCAGCACGACGGCGUGGUGACGAUCUUGAUGUACUACCGACGCAGGGCUUCGCCUAAGCACUACAACGGUAUGAUCAAGGUGGAAUAUGGUGGCAGGGGGCACCGCACACGGCUAAGGAACGAUCUCAAGGAUCAACUUGUGUGUCUUGGGGUGUCCCCUGCCCCUGUAUAUAAAGGUUGGAGGAGGGGGGCUGGCCGGCCAGAGAGAGGGAGGCGCAGGGGGAGUCCUACUCCUACCGGGAGUAGGACUCCCCCCUCCAAUCCUAUUCCAACUAGGACUCUCAAGGGGGGAAGGAGAAAGAGGGGGGCCGGCCCCUUCUCCUAGUCCUACUAGGACUUGGGGAAGGGGGGGGGGCGCGGCCAGCUGUGGGCUUCCCCUUUUCUCUUUUCCACUAAGGUCCAAUAGGCCCAUUAGUCUCCCGGGGGGUUCCGGUAACCCUCCCGGUAUUCCGGUAAAAUCCCGAUUUCACCCGGAACACUUCCUAUGUCCAAACAUAGGCUUCCAAUAUAUCAAUCUUUACGUCUCGACCAUUUCGAGACUCCUCGUCAUGUCCGUGAUCUCAUCCGGGACUCCGAACAACCUUCGGUACAUCAAAAUGCAUAAACUCACAAUAAUUGUCAUCGUAACGUUAAGCGUGCGGACCCUACGGUUCGAGAACAAUGUAGACAUGACCGAGACACGUCUCCGGUCAAUAACCAAUAGCGGGACCUGGAUGCCCAUAUUGGCUCCUACAUAUUCUACGAAGAUCUUUAUCGAUCAGACCGCAUAACAACAUACGUUGUUCCCUUUGUCAUCGGUAUGUUACUUACCCGAGAUUCGAUCGUCGGUAUCCAAUACCUAGUUCAAUCUCGUUACCGGCAAGUCUCUUUACUCGUUCCGUAAUACAUCAUCUCACAACUAACAUAUUAGUUGGAGUGCUUGCAAGGCUUAUGUGAUGUGCGUUACCGAGAGGGCCCAGAGAUACCUCUCCGACAAUCGGAGUGACAAACCCUAAUCUUGAAAUACGCCAACCCAACAUCUACCAUUGGAGACACCUAUAGUACUCCUUUAUAAUCACCCAGUUACAUUGUGACGUUUGGUAGUACCCAAAGUGUUCCUCCGGUAAACGGGAGUUGCAUAAUCUCAUAGUUAUAGGAACAUGUAUAAGUCAUGAAGAAAGCAAUAGCAACAUACUAAACGAUCGGGUGCUAAGCUAAUGGAAUGGGUCAUGUCAAUCAGAUCAUUCAACUAAUGAUGUGACCUCGUUAAUCAAAUAACAACUCUUUGUUCAUGGUUAGGAAACAUAACCAUCUUUGAUUAACGAGCUAGUCAAGUAGAGGCAUACUAGUGACACUCUGUUGGUCUAUGUAUUCACACAUGUAUUAUGUUUCCGGUUAAUACAAUUCUAGCAUGAAUAAUAAACAUUUAUCAUGAUAUAAGGAAAUAAAUAAUAACUUUAUUAUUGCCUCUAGGGCAUAUUUCCUUCAGUCUCCCACUUGCACUAUAGUCAAUAAUCUAGAUCACACUGUAAUGAUUCUAACACCCAUGGAGCCUUGGUGCUGAUCAUGUUUUGCUCGUGGAAGAGGCUUAGUCAACGGGUCUGCAACGUUCAGAUCCGUAUGUAUCUUGCAAAUCUCUAUGUCUCCCACCUGGACUAAAUCCCGGAUGGAGUUGAAGCGUCUCUUGAUGUGUUUGGUCCUUUUGUGAAAUCUGGAUUCCUUUGCCAAGGCAAUUGCACCAGUAUUGUCACAGAAGAUUUUCAUUGGACCCGAUGCACUAGGUAUGACACCUAGAUCGGAUAUGAACUCCUUCAUCCAGACUCCUUCGUUUGCUGCUUCCGAAGCAGCUAUGUACUCCGCUUCACAUGUAGAUCCUGCUAUGACGCUUUGUUUAGAACUGCACCAACUGACAGCUCCACCGUUUAAAGUAAACACGUAUCCGGUUUGCGAUUUAGAAUCGUCCGGAUCAGUGUCAAAGCUUGCAUCAACGUAACCUCUUACGGUGAGCUCUUUGUCACCUCCAUAUACGAGAAACAUAUCCUUAGUCCUUUUCAGGUAUUUCAGGAUGUUCUUGACCGCUGUCCAGUGAUCCAUUCCUGGAUUACUUUGGUACCUCCCUGCUAAACUUAUAGCAAGGCACACAUCAGGUCUGGUACACAACAUUGCAUACAUGAUAGAGCCUAUGGCUGAAGCAUAGGGAACAUCUUUCAUUUUCUCUCUAUCUUCUGGAGUGGUCGGGCAUUGAGUCUGACUCAACUUCACACCUUGUAACACAGGCAAGAACCCUUUCUUUGCUUGAUCCAUUUUGAACUUCUUCGAAAUCUUGUCAAGGUAUGUGCUCUGUGAAAGUCCAAUUAAGCGUUUUGAUCUAUCUCUAUAGAUCUUUAUGCCUAAUAUGUAAGCAGCUUCCCCGAGGUCUUUCAUCGAAAAACUUUUAUUCAAGUAUCCCUUUAUGCUAUCCAGAAAUUCUAUAUCAUUUCCAAUCAGCAAUAUGUCAUCCACAUAUAAUAUUAGAAAUGCUACAGAGCUCCCACUCACUUUCUUGUAAAUACAGGCUUCUCCAAAAGUCUGUAUAAAGCCAAAUGCUUUGAUCACACUAUCAAAGCGUUUAUUCCAACUCCGAGAUGCUUGCACCAGUCCAUAAAUGGAUCGCUGGAGUUUGCAUACUUUGUUAGCUCCCUUUGGAUCAACAAAACCUUCUGGUUGUAUCAUAUACAACUCUUCUUCCAGAAAUCCAUUCAGGAAUGCAGUUUUGACAUCCAUUUGCCAUAUUUCAUAAUCAUAAAAUGCGGCAAUUGCUAACAUAAUUCUGACGGACUUAAGCAUCGCUACGAGUGAGAAGGUCUCAUCGUAGUCAACCCCUUGAACUUGUCGAAAACCUUUCGCGACAAGUCGAGCUUUAUAGACAGUAAUAUUACCGUCAGCGUCAGUCUUUUUCUUGAAGAUCCAUUUAUUCUCAAUUGCUUGCCGAUCAUCGGGCAAGUCAACCAAAGUCCAUACUUUGUUUUCAUACAUGGAUCCCAUCUCAGAUUUCAUGGCCUCAAGCCACUUUGCGGAAUCUAGGCUCACCAUCGCUUCUUCAUAGUUCGUAGGUUCAUCAUGAUCUAGUAGCAUGACUUCCAGAACUGGAUUACCGUACCACUCUGGUGCGGAUCUCACUCUGGUUGAUCUACGUGGUUCAGUAGUAUCUUGUCCUGAAGCUUCAUGAUCAUCAUCAUCAGCUUCCUCACUGAUUGGUAUAGGUGUCGCAGAAACAGUUUUCUGUGAUGUACUAUUUUCCAAUAAGGGAGCAGGUACAGUUACCUCGUCAAGUUCUACUUUCCUCCCACUCACUUCUUUCGAGAGAAACUCCUUCUCUAGAAAGUUUCCGAAUUUAGCAACAAAAGUCUUGCCUUCGGAUCUGUGAUAGAAGGUGUAUCCAAUAGUUUCCUUUGGAUAUCCUAUGAAGACACAUUUCUCCGAUUUGGGUUCGAGCUUAUCAGGUUGAAGUUUUUUCACAUAAGCAUCGCAGCCCCAAACUUUAAGAAACGACAACUUUGGUUUCUUGCCAAACCAUAGUUCAUAAGGUGUCGUCUCAACGGAUUUUGAUGGUGCCCUAUUUAACGUGAAUGCGGCCGUCUCUAAAGCAUAACCCCAAAACGAUAGCGGUAAGUUAGUAAGAGACAUCAUAGAUCGCACCAUAUCUAGUAAAGUACGAUUACGACGUUCGGACACACCAUUACGCUGUGGUGUUCCGGGUGGCGUGAGUUGCGAAACUAUUCCACAAUUUUUCAAAUGUACACCAAACUCGUAACUCAAAUAUUCUCCUCCACGAUCAGAUCGUAGAAACUUUAUUUUCUUGUUACGAUGAUUUUCAACCUCACUCUGAAAUUCUUUGAACUUUUCAAAUGUUUCAGACUUAUGUUUCAUUAAGUAGAUAUACCCAUAUCUGCUUAAAUCAUCUGUGAAGGUGAGAAAAUAACGAUAUCCGCCACGAGCCUCAAUAUUCAUCGGACCACAUGCAUCGGUAUGUAUGAUUUCCAAUAAAUCUGUUGCUCUCUCCAUAGUACCGGAGAACGGUGUUUUAGUCAUCUUGCCUAUGAGGCACGGUUCGCAAGUACCAAGUGAUUCAUAAUCAAGUGGUUCCAAAAGCCCAUCAGUAUGGAGUUUCUUCAUGCGCUUUACACCGAUAUGACCUAAACGGCAGUGCCACAAAUAAGUUGCACUAUCAUUAUUAACUUUGCAUCUUUUGGCUUCUACAUUAUGAAUAUGUGUAUCACUAUCAUCGAGAUUCAACAAGAAUAGACCACUCUUCAAAGGUGCAUGACCAUAAAAGAUAUUACUCAUAUAAAUAGAACAACCAUUAUUCUCUGAUUUAAAUGAAUAACCGUCUCGCAUCAAACAAGAUCCAGAUAUAAUGUUCAUGCUCAACGCUGGCACCAAAUAACAAUUAUUUAGGUCUAAUAUUAAUCCCGAAGGUAGAUGUAGAGGUAGCGUGCCGACCGCGAUCACAUCGACUUUGGAACCGUUUCCCACGCGCAUCGUCACCUCGUCCUUUGCUAGCGUCCGCUUAUUCCGUAGUCCCUGUUUCGAGUUGCAAAUAUUAGCAACAGAACCAGUAUCAAAUACCCAAGUGCUACUGCGAGCUCUAGUAAGGUACACAUCAAUAACAUGUAUAUCACAUAUACCUUUGUUCACUUUGCCAUCCGUCUUAUCCGCCAAAUACUUGGGGCAGUUCCGCUUCCAGUGACCAGUCUGCUUGCAGUAGAAGCACUCAGUUUCAGGCUUAGGUCCAGACUUGGGUUUCUUCUCCUGAGCAGCAACUUGCUUGCUGUUCUUCUUGAAGUUUCCCUUCUUCCCUUUGCCCUUUUUCUUGAAACUAGUGGUUUUGCUAACCAUCAACACUUGAUGCUGCUUCUUGAUUUCUACCUCCGCAGCUUUCAGCAUUGCGAAGAGCUCAGGAAUAGUCUUGUUCAUCCCUUGCAUAUUAUAGUUCAUCACGAAGCUCUUGUAGCUUGGUGGCAGUGAUUGGAGAAUUCUGUCAAUGACGCAGUCAUCUGGAAGAUUAACUCCCAUCUGAAUCAAGUGAUUAUUAUACCCAGACAUUUUGAGUAUAUGCUCACUGACAGAACUGUUCUCCUCCAUCUUGCAGCUAUAGAACUUAUUGGAGACUUCAUAUCUCUCAAUUCGGGCAUUUUCUUGAAAUAUUAACUUCAACUCCUGGAACAUCUCAUAUGCUCCAUGACGUUCAAAACGUCGUUGAAGUCCCGAUUCUAAGCCGUAAAGCAUGGCACACUGAACUAUUGAGUAGUCAUCAGCUUUGCUCUGCCAGACGUUCAUAACAUCUGGCGUUGCUCCAGCAGCAGGCCUUUCACCCAGCUAUGCUUCCAGGACGUAAUUCUUCUGUGCAGCAAUGAGGAUAAUCCUCAGGUUACGGACCCAGUCCGUGUAAUUGCUACCAUCAUCUUUCAACUUUGCUUUCUCAAGGAACGCAUUAAAAUUCAACGGAACAACAGCACGAGCCAUCUAUCUACAAUCAACAUAAACAAGCAAGAUACUAUCAGGUACUAAGUUCAUGAUAAGUUUAAGUUCAGUUAAUCAAAUUACUUAGGAACUCCCACUUAGAAGGACAUCCCUCUAAUCUUCUAAGUGAUCACGUGAUCCAAAUCAACUAAACCAUAACCGAUCAUCACGUGAGAUGGAGUAGUUUUCAAUGGUGAACAUCGUUAUGUUGAUCAUAUCUACUAUAUGAUUCACGCUCGACCUUUCGGUCUCCGUGUUCCGAGGCCAUAUCUGUAUAUGCUUGGCAAGUCAAGUAUAACCUGAGUAUUCUGCGUGUGCAACUGUUUUGCACCCGUUGUAUUUGGACGUAGAGCUUAUCACACCCGAUCAUCACGUGGUGUCUGGGCACGACGAACUUUGGCAACGGUGCAUACUCAGGGAGAACACUUCUUGAUAAUUUUAGUGAGAGAUCAUCUUAUAAUGCUACCGUCAAUCAAAGCAAGAUAAGAUGCAUAAAAGGAUAAACAUCACAUGCAAUCAAUAUAAGUGAUAUGAUAUGGCCAUCAUCAUCUUGUGCUUGUGAUCUCCAUCUCCGAAGCACCGUCAUGAUCACCAUCGUCACCGGCGCGACACCUUGAUCUCCAUCGUAGCAUCAUUGUCAUCUCGCCAAUCUUAUGCUUCCACGACUAUCACUACCGCUUAGUAAUAAAGUAAAGCAUUACAUCGCGAUUGCAUUGCAUACAAUAAAGCGACAACCAUAUGGCUCCUGCCAGUUGCGGAUAACUCGGUUACAAAACAUGAUCAUCUCAUACAAUAAAAUCAGCAUCAUGCCUUGACCAUAUCACAUCACAACAUGCCAUGCAAAAACAAGUUAGACGUCCUCUACUUUGUUGUUGCAAGUUUUACGUGGCUGCUACGGGCUUAAGUAAGAACUCAUCUCACCUACGCAUCAAAACCACAACGAUAGUUCGUCAAAUAGACUCCGUUUUAACCUUCUCAAGGACCGGGCGUAGUCACACUUGGUUCAACUAAAGUUGGAGAGACAGUCUUCCGCAAGCCAUCUAUGUGCAAAGCACGUCGAGGGAACCGGUCUCGCGUAAGAGUACGCGUAAGGUUGGUCCGGAUCGUCCCACCCAACAAUACCGCCGAACCAAAGUAUGACAUGCUGGUAGGCAGUAUGACUUGUAUCGCCCACAACUCACUUGUGUUCUACUCGUGCAAAUAACAUCAAACCAUAAAACCUAGCCUCGGAUGCCACUGUUGGGGAACGUAGUAAUUUUGAAAAUUUUCCUACGCACACGCAAGAUCAUGGUGAUGCACAGCAACGAGGGGGGAGAGUGUUGUCUACGUACCAACGCAGACCGACUGCGGAAGCGAUCACACAACGAAGAGGAAGUAGUCGUACGUCUUCUUCCCGAUCCGACCGAUCCAAGCACCGUUACUCCGGCACCUCCGAGUUCUUAGCACACGUUCAGCUCGAUGACGAUCCUCGGGCUCCGAUCCAGCAAAGCGUCGAGGAAGAGUUUCGUCAGCACGACGGCGUGGUGACGAUCUUGAUGUACUACCGACGCAGGGCUUCGCCUAAGCACUACAAUGGUAUGAUCGAGGUGGAAUAUGGUGGUAGGGGGCACCGCACACGGCUAAGGAACGAUCUCAAGGAUCAACUUGUGUGUCUUGGGGUGUCCCCUGCCCCCGUAUAUAAAGGUUGGAGGAGGGGGGCUGGCCGGCCAGAGAGAGGGAGGCGCAGGGGGAGUCCUACUCCUACCGGGAGUAGGACUCCCCCCUCCAAUCCUAUUCCAACUAGGACUCUCAAGGGGGAAAGGAGAAAGAGGGGGGCCGGCCCCUUCUCCUAGUCCUACUAGGACUUGGGGAAGGGGGGGGGGGCGCGGCCAGCUGUGGGCUUCCCCUUUUCUCUUUUCCACUAAGGUCCAAUAGGCCCAUUAGUCUCCCGGGGGGUUCCGGUAACCCUCCCGGUAUUCCGGUAAAAUCCCGAUUUCACCCGGAACACUUCCUAUGUCCAAACAUAGGCUUCCAAUAUAUCAAUCUUUACGUCUCGACCAUUUCGAGACUCCUCGUCAUGUCCGUGAUCUCAUCCGGGACUCCGAACAACCUUCGGUACAUCAAAAUGCAUAAACUCAUAAUAAUUGUCAUCGUAACGUUAAGCGUGCGGACCCUACGGUUCGAGAACAAUGUAGACAUGACCGAGACACGUCUCCGAUCAAUAACCAAUAGCGGGACCUGGAUGCCCAUAUUGGCUCCUACAUAUUCUAUGAAGAUCUUUAUCGGUCAGACCGCAUAACAACAUACGUUGUUCCCUUUGUCAUCGGUAUGUUACUUACCCGAGAUUCGAUCGUCGGUAUCCAAUACCUAGUUCAAUCUCGUUACCGGCAAGUCUCUUUACUCGUUCCGUAAUACAUCAUCUCACAACUAACAUAUUAGUUGCAGUGCUUGCAAGGCUUAUGUGAUGUGCAUUACCGAGAGGGCCCAGAGAUACCUCUCCGACAAUCGGAGUGACAAACCCUAAUCUUGAAAUACACCAACCCAACAUCUACCAUUGGAGACACCUGUAGUACUCCUUUAUAAUCACCCAGUUACGUUGUGACGUUUGUUAGUACCCAAAGUGUUCCUCCGGUAAACGGGAGUUGCAUAAUCUCAUAGUUAUAGGAACAUGUAUAAGUCAUGAAGAAAGCAAUAGCAACAUACUAAACGAUCGGGUGCUAAGCUAAUGGAAUGGGUCAUGUCAAUCAGAUCAUUCAACUAAUGAUGUGACCUCGUUAAUCAAAUAACAACUCUUUGUUCAUGGUUAGGAAACAUAACCAUCUUUGAUUAACGAGCUAGUCAAGUAGAGGCAUACUAGUGACACUCUGUUGGUCUAUGUAUUCACACAUGUAUUACGUUUCCGGUUAAUACAAUUCUAGCAUGAAUAAUAAACAUUUAUCAUGAUAUAAGGAAAUAAAUAAUAACUUUAUUAUUGCCUCUAGGGCAUAUUUCCUUCAUUCGAAUAGUUUUAUACCCUGCAGGGGUGUACUUCGUCAUCCACGCUUUCACCGCUUACCGCCGUCUACACGACAUGUACUCGGCAACCUUCAAGCGGAAGCCUAGCGAGGGUGUCGGGCACGGCCUACCUAAACACCGAAGCCCCUAGUCCAGGUUAUCGCCUACCCAGGUUCCAUCCGCAGGGAGUCCGGCCGAGGUUUCCACAUACGGCCCCGAACGAUGUGAACAGGGUUCCCGAGACACCAAACGGGUGACUCGGUACACCCGGCCAUGGUGUAUCUACCGCAACAUAGCCUACCCCUAGGGUCAGCGCUACGCACGGCCGCCAACACAUAUCCUACAAACACCAAAAAACUAUUUGCAACUCCUGGACAGAGUACUAGGGUGGCUAAGAAGCCGAGAGGGUCAAUUAAGGAUCCCAAUGCACGGUAGUAGCUGAAUCUUAAAUUACACAUACAGAUCUCAGUUCUUAGGGGCAGCCUCAAUGAAACAACCCACCAUGUACUCCUACAUGGCCUCUCAUCGAUACCUUUACCAAAUCAUGUUCAACACAUCCCACAUAUUAUUGACACGAGCAUUUCACUCUAGCCCAUCACCCAGAUGAACCAGACCUGACACAACUCUAAGCAUAGCAGGCAUAGCAAGGUAGGAAUCACAAAACAUGGCUCAAUCAACUCCUACACAUGCUAGUGGGUUUCAUCUAGUUACUGUGGCAAUGACAGGUCAUGCAGAGGAUAAGGGUUCAACUACCGUAGCACACACAGCAGUUUGAAUCGUGUUGUCUUAAUGCAGUAAACAAGAGCAGGAGCGGGAACAUGGGUUUGUAUCGGAAUGAUCAAUGGUUGCUUGCCUGAUGGAGUGGUAAUGGGAUACUGCCCUUCAGUUGAAUACUCGUGAAUAUCCUCGGAGGCAGAACCUACCACGAAGAACACAACCGAGCACAAUCAACACAUGACGAUAUGCAACAAUAUGAUGCAUGCUAUGACAUGGCAAUAUGAAUGUGUUUUGGCCUAAUGCAAGCUAAAACAGAAAGGGGCGAACUCAUUUGAAUCCAAGAUUCAAAUAUUAGCUCAUUAAUUAUUUCAUUUAUAGGGCAUUUUCUUAUUCUGCUUAAACAGUAGGGUAAACUUGUUUUUUCAUGCAUGAAACCAUUACAGAUGGAUAGAUUGAAUUUUUCUGAUAAUUUUUCAUAUAUAAUUUGUCUCAUUUGGAGUUAUGGUUGAGUUUCUAUGAAUUUUUGAAGUUUGAACUAUUUUCUGGAAUUUUCUGAAUAAAAAUAAUUCCAGAAAAACAAUUACUGCGUCAGCAAUGCGUCAGGGUGACAUCAGCAAGUCAAAGGCGCCAGCCAGGUCAAACCUGACUGGUGGGGCCCCCUGGUCAGUGUCUCUGUGCACUAACCAUGCUUAGUUAGCCUAAUUAACCAGCGGGGCCCACUAGUCAGUGACUAUACUAAUUAACUAAUCUAUUUAGUUAGCGCUAACAGGGUAAUUAGCCGGGCGGGGCCCGCAUGUCAGUGAGAGAGGGGGGGGGGCGUCAACCCACGUCAGCAGGUUAAACCUCCCCGGUCAGUGGGUCAAGGCCUGCCGGCGUUUAGCCGCCGGCGAGGCCAGACGCGGUGGCGCGCUGUGGAAAUCGCACACGGGGCACCAUUUGGUGCGCGGAGAGCAGCUACGGGUAGCUGGGGACAACCCGCGGCGUUUGGUGGUGGUGGUUGGGCUCGGGGUGGCCGGGAAUGUCGCCGGCGACGAGCCUUGCGGUCGCCGAAGUCGGGCGAAAGUGAGCCCGAGGCUACGGGGCACGUCGAGGCGCGUGGUGAGGUGCGUUGUACUCCUAGGGAUGCAGUGAAGAUGAUAGGCUAAGUGGCGUGGCCGGAGUUUGGCCGGAGACACGUCGGCGACGAGCUCCACGGUGGCGGGUGCGGGUGAGCUUCGUGUGCUUGCUGUGGUGCACGAGAAGAGGAACGGAGAGGUUGGGGAGGUGCAGCAGCUCACGGCGAUCACGAAGAGUUAGACGGCGCGGUCGGGGACGAGUCGAUGCGGCGGCAACGUCGAAGGGGAUCUCCGGCGAGGCUCGGUGAAGACGAGGUCGAAGAAGUCGUUGCAGAGCGUGUGAGCGCUCGGGGCUUGGCUGCUCGAAGGAGUUGACGACGGCGGAGAGGAUGGACACGGUGGUGCAUCACGGGGACGUCGGUGGACGGGGUUUUCACGGUGGCGCGAGCUCAGCAGCGUCGGCCAUGGCGGAGGGGAGCGAGAGAGAGAGGCAGGGGGCGAGUGAGCGUAUCCAGGGGGUCGAGACGGUGACGUGGAGCCGGUCCAGGGGGUCGAGGCAGCGAGGUGAGGAAGCAGGACGGCAGCCUGCUGCGUGGCGCGCGCGGGUGCCGCCGUCGAGCACCUGCCUGCCUGCCUGGCCAAGCCAAGCUGCUCGCUGGCGCGGCGGCUGGGCUGGGCCGGCAGGUGGGCCUGGUGGGUGGCGCCAGGUAUGGUUCUUCUCCCCUUUUUUUUAUUUUGUUUUCUUUUCUAUUAGUCUGUAGCUUUAGGGCUUUAAUUAAAAUACCUAGGCACUUUCUAAAAUCCUGAAAAUAUUUGUGAGCCCUAUUGGGAUUAUUCCUAACAGCAAACAAUUACUUUCAGAAUUAUUUGAGCACUUGAAUUAUUUAAUAGCAUUUAAAUGCCCAAAUUCAAAUAUUUAUGAAUUAAAUCAGUGACCUUCUGUUGACCUAGAAAAAUGUGCACCUAUUUCCCCAUAGGUUCUAACCCAAGGCAAAGAGGGUGAACAUUUUAGAAGGGCAUUUCAGGUUCAUUGAAUUUAUUUUUAGUAAACCCUAGUUGAUUUAGGGGGGGUGCUGGGGGUUCUGUCUUCCCCAUUUCAAGUUUCUGAUGAAAGUAAACAUGAUGCACACUCUAAUGCAUGGACUAGCUAGGGUGUGA
rnacentral:lncRNA from 1 species